GUCGGGAGGGCUGCGAAUACAAGACCCGAAAGGGAAAUAAGCGCACCGUCUCUCUCAGCACGGUUCUGAACCUCCCGACACCCCUCC
rnacentral:ncRNA from 1 species